GACGAACGCUGGCGGCGUGCCUAAUACAUGCAAGUAGAACGCAGUUGCGAACGGGUGAGUAACGCGUAGGUAACCUGCCUCAUAGCGGGGGAUAACUCUUGGAAACGUUAGCUAUUACCGCAUACUGUGAGAGGGAGCUGCGUUGUAUUUGGUAGUUGGUGAGGUAAAGGCUCACCAUGGCGACGAUACAUAGCCGACCUGAGAGGGUGAACGGCCAACCCGGGACUGCGACACCGGCCGGACACCUACGGGAGGCAGCAGUUGGGAAUCUUAGGAAACGGAGGGAAGUCUGACCGCGCACCGCCGCGGGAUUGAAGGAGGGUUUCGGGUCGUAAAGGUCUGUGCUGAGGGAAGCGUUAACUACCCAGAAAGCGACGGCUAACUCCGUGCCAGCAGCCGCGGUAAUUC
rnacentral:rRNA from 1 species